UUGACCUCGAAUCAGGUAGGAAUACCCGCUGAACUUAAGCAUAUCAAUAAGCGGAGGAAAAGAAACCAACCGGGAUUACCUCAGUAACGGCGAGUGAAGCGGUAACAGCUCAAAUUUGAAAUCUGGCUCCUCUGGAGUCCGAGUUGUAAUUUGUAGAAGAUGCUUUGGGUUGUGGGUUCGGCCUAAGUUCCUUGGAACAGGACGUCAUAGAGGGUGAGAAUCCCGUAUGUGGCCGAGGCCCGCGCCUAUGUAAAGCUCUUUCAACGAGUCGAGUUGUUUGGGAAUGCAGCUCAAAAUGGGUGGUAAAUUUCAUCUAAAGCUAAAUAUGGGCCAGAGACCGAUAGCGCACAAGUAGAGUGAUCGAAAGAUGAAAAGCACUUUGGAAAGAGAGUUAAACAGUACGUGAAAUUGUUGAAAGGGAAGCGCUUGCACCCAGACUUGGGCGCUGCUGAUCACCUUGCGGUCUCCGCGAGUGCACUCGACAGCGCACAGGCCAGCAUCGGUUCGGGUGGCUGGAUAAAGGCCGUAGGAAUGUAGCUCCCUUCGGGGAGUGUUAUAGCCUACGGUGCCAUGCAGCCCAGCCGGACCGAGGACCGCGCCUUCGGGCUAGGAUGCUGGCGUAAUGGGUGUAAGCGACCCGUCUUGAAACACGGACCAAGGAGUCUAACAUCUAUGCGAGUGUUUGGGUGGUAAACCCAUACGCGGAAUGAAAGUGAACGUAGGU
rnacentral:rRNA from 1 species